GAGCGGACCGGCCGCCAUAGCGGCGGGGCGGCACCGGGGAAGACGCUGGCCGUGUGCAGUCCUUGCGUUCCACCUACAGAAUCAGACCUCACAAAAGCAAUGAGUGAAGCACCCGCUUAAAUGUCGAUGCGGCAUUUGCAGAUCCACAGAGCAUUGCACCAAAGGAGGGAUAUCAGCACGGCUCCUGUGUGGCGCAUUCACCGUCUGCAGUGACAGGGGGGAGCGGGACACACAGCUGAUUUAUGGCUCUGUCCCUAAAUGGACAUGGUGGAGCAAAGCCAGAGCACAUGGAUAAAAAUCCUGGAGUGUGAUGCCUAUAGUGUCUGAAUAUGCAAAUAAAAAGAACACUGGAAUUCUGGGAACAACUCAAGAACAAGAGACUCUAAAAAGCAGUGAACCGAAGUAAAAUCCAGGACUGAAGUCGCACUUUAGACUAGUGCAAAAGAACACUCAGGACUGUGAUUCAGGAUGUUAGGAGAGCAGAGCUGCUGGCUGGAAGGAGAGGGCUUUCCCACCCCACUUUGGUGCUGGAAGAAGGCAGCAUGCAGAGAGAUGACAUUUUUCCAUGUUCAGCCAUUUUGGAAGGGACGAUCCUGUGAUCUUUCCCAACACUUUCUAGCUUACCCCUCUGGGAUCUUACAUCAGUCAUUUAGCCAUGGUUUAGGGGGGAGUUGGAACACGUUAGGAAGCCUUGGUGAGGAGAAACCCAAUCUGACACUUCCCCAGUUCUGGCAAGUGGUUUAGGGCUAGAAAGUGGUAGCAGGUGAUGCUGUCACUCUUGGCCUCUGUCUCCAAAUCAACUGUAGAAAAGAGGCAUUUCCCUCACAUUCCUGGUCUUAAUCUCGCUCAGAUGGUGUUUGCUCCUGAGGAGGACGGCUAAUCAAUAGAGUUCUCCCUGAAUUAUCUGAGAAAUGAAGGAGGGUGAGAGAAAGUGGUUAGUCCUGAAACUUGCAUGUUUUCUUGUAAUUGACAUAGAUUUA